rnacentral:snRNA from 1 species
GAAUGUGAGGGCAUCUGGCUGCAACAUCUGUCACCCCACUGAUCUCCAGGAUUGAUUCGGCUGAUCUGGCCGGCUAGGCAGGUGUCCCCUUCCUCCCUCGCUGCUGCUGUGCGUCCCUCCCGAAGCUGCACGCUCGGUCAAAGAGGACGACCUUCCCUGCUAGAGGAGGGCCGUUCUUCGGUCAAGGAUAUAUGGUAGCUGCGUUCCCCUGCUAGAACCUCCAAACAAGCUCUCAAAAAAGGCUCUUAUAGGGAAGCGGAUUUGGCUCAACUGAUUGAGUGUCCACCUAC